ACGCUCGACACCUACGGGAGGUAGCAGUGGGGAAUAUUGCACAAUGGGGGAAACCCUGAUGCAGCGACGCCGCGUGAGCGAAGAAGUAUCUCGGUAUGUAAAGCUCUAUCAGCAGGGAAGAAGAUGACGGUACCUGACUAAGAAGCACCGGCUAAAUACGUGCCCGCAGCCGCGGUAAUCUGAGCGGGCUGGCAAGGC
rnacentral:rRNA from 1 species